UCCAACAGUAGGAUCAUUUCUAUAGUUUACGUCCCUCUUUGACUCUUCAAACGAGCCACUGAAUCCAACUUGGUUGAUGAGUUGUAUACCUUUGUGCCCUAGAGUGAGAAUUUUGAUUUAGCUUGUCUAUAAUCCUUUGCGGUUUAGUCAUCUAUUUUAAUUUUUGCCUUUUUAUUUAUAACGAUAUUGUUUUCUUUUGGAAAUUAUUAUUGUUAUAUAAAGGAGCGAUGAUCUUGACCCUAUUUAUGAACUUUUUCGAAAGGGAUAAAUAUGGGUGGGUGCAAAUGGCAAUCUGACAAGU
rnacentral:snoRNA from 1 species